rnacentral:tRNA from 1 species
GCGGGUGUGGUGAAAUUGGUAGACACGCCAGACUUAGGAUCUGGUGCCUUACGGUGUGUAGGUUCGAGUCCUAUCACCCGCA